CAGUUCUCAGAUACGGUCGCCCGAGCUACUUUUGGUUUCGUUUUCUCUAUCCGCAUGUUUCGGAAAACAGUUCAAGUGACAGACAUCCGAGACAGCCUCUCAUCUUCACCUGGCUAACACCUGCACAUCUGUUCUGAAGCUGUUGAGAAGUGUAGGGCCGCCGCUAGAGGACACAAUGAGUGGUCGUAAAAAGGGAAGAGGAAGAGGUAGAACCAGUAAUGGUGAGCUUCAGAGGAUCUCGACUAGAGGAUCAUCCAACGCCGAAACAAAACAUGAACAGAGAAAGGAUGACUGGAGUAAUAAUUCUAGACCAAAUCAACAAUUAAGGAAUGAAGGAUCAGCUACAGCAUGUGCCGCGAGUGAAGGCAAGGAGAGCAAGACAAAGAAACGAAAUUCAAGAAAAAAUCGUGCCAAACGUAAGCAAGAAUCACUGCAAAGUCAUGACAGUAAGGUGGAGGAAACAAGAGAAGAGAACUGUACAAGACAAGAGCACGCGAGGGUAAAGGAUAAUGACACAGAAAGCAAAGAGGAAGUAGUUGAGAGAGAAAAUACCUCAAUAAAACAAGAUUGUAACAACGAAAUAAAGGCACUGGUUGAAGUGUCAGGCGUAACCGAAAAAACUGAUCUCUGUGUAAAAACUACUGCAUUUCCCGAGUCACCUACAGAUAAACAAACAGACCGCGAGGUGCAACCAGAAAAUAACGUAAAACCAUCAGAAACUACGUCAUCUUCUACACCGCCUACAGAGAUGCAACCAGAAAAUAACGUAAAACCAUCAGAAACUACGUCAUCUUCUACACCGCCUAGAGAUGAGGAACCAGAAAAUAACGUAAAACCAUCAGAAACUACGUCAUCUUCUACACCGCCUACAGAGGACGAACCAGAAAAUAACGUAAAACCAUCAGAAACUACGUCAUCUUCUACACCGCCUACAGAGGAGGAACCAGAAAAUAACGUAAAACCAUCAGAAACUACGUCAUCUUCUACACCGCCUACAGAGGACGAACCAGAAAAUAACGUAAAAGCAUCAGAAACUACGUCAUCUUCUACACCGCCUACAGAGGAGGAACCAGAAAAUAACGUAAAAGCAUCAGAAACUACGUCAUCUUCUACACCGCCUAGAGAUGAGGAACCAGAAAAUAACGUAAAACCAUCAGAAACUACGUCAUCUUCUACACCGCCUACAGAGGAGGAACCAGAAAAUAACGUAAAACCAUCAGAAACUAUGUCAUCUUCUACACCGCCUACAGAGGAGGAACCAGAAAAUAACGUAAAAGCAUCAGAAACUACGUCAUCUUCUACACCGCCUACAGAGGAGGAACCGGAAAAUAACGUAAAAGCAUCAGAAACUACGUCAUCUUCUACACCGCCUAGAGAUGAGGAACCAGAAAAUAACGUAAAACCAUCAGAAACUACGUCAUCUUCUACACCGCCUAGAGAUGAGGAAGCAGAAAAUAACGUAAAAGCAUCAGAAACUACGUCAUCUGCUACACCGCCUAGAGAUGAGGAACCAGAAAAUAACGUAAAAGCAUCAGAAACUACGUCAUCUGCUACACCGUCUACAGAGGAGGAACUAGAAAAUAACGUAAAACCAUCAGAAACUACGUCAUCUGCUACACCGCCUAGAGAUGAGGAACCAGAAAAUAACGUAAAACUAUCAGAAACUACAUCAUCUUCUACACCGCCUACAGAGGAGGAACCAGAAAAUAACGUAAAACCAUCAGAAACUACGUCAUCUGCUACACCGCCUAGAGAUGAGGAACCAGAAAAUAACGUAAAACCAUCAGAAACUACGUCAUCUGCUACACCGCCUAGAGAUGAGGAACCAGAAAAUAACGUAAAAGCAUCAGUAACUACGUCAUCUUCUACACCGUCUACAGAGGAGGAACCAGAAAAUAACGUAAAACUAUCAGAAACUACGUCAUCUUCUACACCGCCUAGAGAUGAGGAACCAGAAAAUAACGUAAAACCAUCAGAAACUACGUCAUCUUCUACACCGCCUACAGAGGACGAACCAGAAAAUAACGUAAAACAAUCAGAAACUACGUCAUCUUCUACACCGCCUAGAGAUGAGGAACCAGAAAAUAACGUAAAACCAUCAGAAACUACGUCAUCUUCUACACCGCCUAGAGAUGAGGAACCAGAAAAUAACGUAAAACCAUCAGAAACUACGUCAUCUUCUACACCGCCUACAGAGGAGGAACCAGAAAAUAACGUAAAAGCAUCAGAAACUACGUCAUCUUCUACACCGCCUACAGAAGGAGAAGCAGAAAGUAAGGGAGAACCAUCAGAAAUUACGUCAACUUCCGAACCACCUACAGAUGAGGAAAAAGACCAUGAGGAUAAAAUAUUAGAAAAAACAUCAUCUUCUACAGCUCUGACAGAUGACAAAGCAGAAAGAAAGGGACAACCAACAGAAAUUACGUCAACUUCAGAACCGCUUACAGAUGAGGAAGAAGAAACUAACGUAAAACUAUCAGAAACUACGUCAUCUGCUACACCGCCUACUGAUGAGCAAGCAGAAAGUAAGGGACAGCCAUCAGAAAUUACGUCAACGUCCAAGUCAAAUACAUAUGAUGAAAAAGACCGCGAGGAUAAACCAGUAGAUACUACGUCGUCAUCUUCCAAACCUUCUGCAGAUAAGGAAGCAGACUGUCAGCUACAGCAAUCAGAAACUACGUUGUUUUCCAAACAGCCUACAGACCGUGAGGAUGAACCAGGCGAAGCUACUUCAUCCUUCAUACGGCCUACAGAUGAGGAAGCAGAUCAUACGCUACAACUUGUAGAACCUACAUGUUCCAAAGAGCCUUUAUAUGAGGAAGCAGACCGCGAGGAUGAACCUGCAGAAGCUCUUUCAUUUUCCACACCAUCUACAGUUGAGGAAUUAGACCACGUGGUACAACUAUUAGAAACUGCUUCAUCUGUCAAACCGCCUACAGAACAGGAAAAAAGGGAUAAAAACAUAAAGGAAAAUGGUGCAGAUAUGGAGGAAAAUGCCAAGGAAGUGGAGGAGAAUAGAAAAAGCAUAGAUAAAAUUAAUGAAGACAUAGAGGAUAACGGUAAUGUCAUGGAAGAGAAUGGUAAAAAAUUUGAGGAGAAUAGUAAAUACAAGAAAGAAAUUUGCAAAGACGGAGAGAAUACUAGUAAAGACAGAGAGAGGAAUGGUAAAGAUACGAUGGCCAUCGAUGAAAAGAUGAAAGACGACAGUGACAAAAGUACAUUUGACAGCCAUGAGAUGUUGAGGCCACGGAACACGGAAUCUGAGGAGAUUAACAAAGAAAUUGCAUCGUAUGAAAUCAAUGGCGGCACUGGACAGGAGCUUGAAGAUCGACGAUUUCAGAAAGCAGACACGACUUCAUAUAUGAGAACCAGCACGGAAACCAGUCUGCGCGAAAGAGAAAAUGAAAGAAUGACGGAAGAGUUCCAGAACAGCAGGAUGAACCAACUUCAACAGCCUGAGGACAAAUGUGAAGAUCUGCAGCAACAUUUUGUUGAAAGGGAGGUAUUCAGAAAACUAAACUCUGACCUUCAAGAAGCACAAGAUAGAUUCAAUAAGCUUGAAGAAGAAAAGAUAAAAUGGAGAGAGGAGAAAGCAGAACUUCAAGACAAAAUUAAGACAUAUAAGCAGGAGGCCGACAAACUCAAAAGAAUCAUCAAGAACUGAGAGAGGACUUCAUGAAGAGCCUGUCACAGUUACAGAAAGAUGUUGAAGAAAAAAACACAAUGAUGAAUUCUCCUUUCCUCGCUGUGUUUCAUGACGCACUGAAGCGAGCAGGCGACGCAGAAAGUACGUUAGCCACAGAAAAAA